CCUACGGGGGGCUGCAGUGGGGAAUAUUGAACAAUGGGGGGAACCCUGAUCCAGCCAUGCCGCGUGUGUGAAGAAGGCCCUCGGGUUGUAAAGCACUUUCAGUGAGGAAGAACGCCUGGUGGUUAAUACCCAUCAGGAAAGACAUCACUCACAGAAGAAGCACCGGCUAACUCCGUGCCAGCAGCCGCGGUAAUACGGAGGGUGCGAGCGUUAAUCGGAAUUACUGGGCGUAAAGCGCGCGUAGGUGGCUUGAUAAGCCGGUUGUGAAAGCCCCGGGCUCAACCUGGGAACGGCAUCCGGAACUGUCAAGCUAGAGUGCAGGAGAGGAAGGUAGAAUUCCCGGUGUAGCGGUGAAAUGCGUAGAGAUCGGGAGGAAUACCAGUGGCGAAGGCGGCCUUCUGGACUGACACUGACACUGAGGUGCGAAAGCGUGGGUAGCAAACAGGAUUAGAUACCCGUGUAGUC
rnacentral:rRNA from 1 species